rnacentral:lncRNA from 1 species
UUCGUGAGAUGCUGAGGGUGGGAGUCAGGUAACUGGCUAUCCACCUCAUUAGUUAAACACCAGCUGGGGAGAAGUGAACAAAGAAGUCACUAUUCCCGGGAAUGCCCUUCUCUUUCCAGCCCCAAAAAGGGCUGAGGCUGCUGAGAUGGAGGGGACUCACAGGAAGAACCUAGGCAGCCCUUCCCAUUACUGAGAGUUCUAAGACCAGCAAGGUUGCGAUGUCCACCCAGUGGGGUUACUGGAAAUCCCCCCAUUCAGAAGGCAUUCAUCCACUUUCUGAAGCUUGCUGUGGUGGUGGGAGUUGAUGAGCAGUGCUACCUUGGGUCAAGACAAUCAUUCCUCUCAAUAGGUACUGACUACAUUCUUUGGUCUUGGCACAGCUGGAUAUCAAAAUGCACUGAGCACAAUAC